rnacentral:rRNA from 1 species
CAGUCGCCACGGGAAUACGGAGGGGGCUAGCGUUGUUCGGAAUUACUGGGCGUAAAGCGCACGUAGGCUGCUUUGUAAGUCAGAGGUGAAAGCCCGGGGCUCAACCCCGGAUGUGCCUUUGAGACUGCAGAGCUAGAAUCGCGGAAAGGUAAGUGGAAUUCCGAGUGUAGAGGUGAAAUUCGUAGAUAUUCGGAAGAACACCAGUGGCGAAGGCGGCUUACUGGCUCAUUCUAGACGCUGAGGUGCGAAAGCGUGGGGAGCAAACAGGAUUAGAUACCCCUGUAGUCCCUGUCUCUUAUAU